AGCGAACGCUGGCGGCAGGCCUAACACAUGCAAGUCGGACGGACCUUUCGGGGUUAGUGGCGGACGGGUGAGUAACACGUGGGAACGUGCCUUUAGGUUCGGAAUAGCUCCUGGAAACGGGUGGUAAUGCCGAAUGUGCCCUUAGGGGGAAAGAUUUAUCGCCUUUAGAACGGCCCGCGUCUGAUUAGCUAGUUGGUGAGGUAAUGGCUCACCAAGGCUACGAUCAGUAGCUGGUCUGAGAGGAUGACCAGCCACAUUGGGACUGAGACACGGCCCAAACUCCUACGGGAGGCAGCAGUGGGGAAUCUUGCGCAAUGGGCGAAAGCCUGACGCAGCCAUGCCGCGUGGAUGAUGAAGGUCUUAGGAUUGUAAAAUCCUUUCACCGGUGAAGAUAAUGACUGUAGCCGGAGAAGAAGCCCCGGCUAACUUCGUGCCAGCAGCCGCAGUAA
rnacentral:rRNA from 1 species